rnacentral:rRNA from 1 species
GACGAACGCUGGCGGCGUGCUUAACACAUGCAAGUCGAACGGAAAGGCCCUGCUUUUGUGGGGUGCUCGAUUGGCGAACGGGUGAGUAACACGUGAGUAACCUGCCCUUGACUUUGGGAUAACUUCAGGAAACUGGGGCUCAUACCGGAUAGGAGCUCCUGCUGCAUGGUGGGGGUUGGAAAGUUUCGGCUGUUGGGGAUGGACUCGCGGCUUAUCAGCUUGUUGGUGGGGUAGUGGCUUACCAAGGCUUUGACGGGUAGCCGGCCUGAGAGGGUGACCGGCCACAUUGGGACUGAGAUACGGCCCAGACUCCUACGGGAGGCAGCAGUGGGGAAUAUUGCACAAUGGGCCGAAGCCUGAUGCAGCAACGCCGCGUGCGGGAUGACGGCCUUCGGGUUGUAAACCGCUUUCGCCUGUGACGAAGCGUGAGUGACGGUAAUGGGUAAAGAAGCACCGGCUAACUACGUG